rnacentral:rRNA from 1 species
CGAACGGGGAGAUUCAUCGUCAGCGGACGCCGGCUUCGCGUCGGUCGGCGAUGUCCUGCGGGGGCCCUCGCGGCUCUCAGCGCGGGCACGCUGCCGUGCGCCGAUGUUUCCGGCUUCGCCGUCGUGCACUUCUCCCCUGGUAGAACGUCACGACCCGCUGAGUGUCGGUCUACGGCCCGGGUGCGGUGUCUGACGCGCCGCCGGUAAAACGGCGCACGUCAAACCCCCGGUCGCCCGGCCGGCUGCCCGGCGGUACGCGCAAGGUAUCAGGCCGCACACACUUCGAAAGAAGCGCGGUGCGUCGAGGCCGUCGCAAGCGCGCGCCACGGUACACGGAGGUACGGACCUGGCGCCGUCACCGGUCCUGACCCGCUGUUGGUCAUACGGUUAACCUUCGACAGGCCUACGAACGUCCCGGCGCGUCGGGGGUCUCUCCCGGCUGCGUCGGC